rnacentral:rRNA from 1 species
UCGGAACAUGUCCUCGAGUGGGGGAUAACGUAGCGAAAGUUACGCUAAUACCGCAUACGCACUAUGGUGGAAAGCAGGGGAUCGCAAGACCUUGCGCUCAUGGAGUGGCCGAUGUCAGAUUAGCUUGUUGGUGGGGUAAAAGCCCACCAAGGCGACGAUCUGUAGCUGGUCUGAGAGGACGACCAGCCACACUGGAACUGAGACACGGUCCAG